rnacentral:lncRNA from 1 species
CUUAUUGCUGAGUUUCUACAGUCCCAGAAGACAGCUCAUGAGACGGAUAAAUCAGACGGAGGCAAGCGCAAAGCUGAUUCUGAUUCUGAAGAUAAAGGAGAGGAAAGCAAACCAAAGAAGAAGAAAGAAGAGGCUCUACCCAUCUGGUUUUUACAGUCAGAAAAGCCACGAGGCUUUGCCCGGGGUCUGGAGCCAGAGCGGAUUAUUGGAGCUACUGACUCCAGUGGAGAGCUCAUGUUCCUGAUGAAAUGGUCUUCCAGUGUUGCCCGGUCUGGCCUAGAACUUUGAAUCCUCUGCCUCCCUUCAGUAUCGGAAGUACAGGGCUGCGUGCCACUGCAGCAGGCAUCAUUUCCUUACCAGAAGCCCCUCUUGCCUCAGUUCAACUUCUUAAGGUGGCUUCCACAGCUUCGUGACUGUAGAUAGACACUGUAGACUUAAAGCCUGGUACUUUAAAAUAGUCUCAGUUUAUUAAUGUAGCAAAUACUUGAGCAUUUGCUGCACAUAUUGUUAGGAACUGGCACAUCAUUCAGUAUUUCAUAUUGCUGGGAAAUUAUUUACUGAUAACACUUCCAAAUACAGUUAUCUGAAAAC